rnacentral:rRNA from 1 species
GAUGAACGCUAGCGGCAGGCUUAAUACAUGCAAGUCGAGGGGCAGCACGGUUAGCAAUAACUGGUGGCGACCGGCGCACGGGUGCGUAACACGUAUACAAUCUACCUUAAACAGGGGGAUAGCCUUUCGAAAGAGAGAUUAAUACCCCGUAAUAAAUUGAACGGCAUCGUUUGAUUUUGAAAGCUCCGGCGGUUUGAGAUGAGUAUGCGUCUGAUUAGCCAGUUGGUGAGGUAACGGCUCACCAAGGCGACGAUCAGUAGGGGAUCUGAGAGGACUAACCCCCACACUGGUACUGAGACACGGACCAGACUCCUACGGGAGGCAGCAGUAAGGAAUGUUGGUCAAUGGAGGCAACUCUGAACCAGCCAUGCCGCGUGCAGGAUGACGGCCCUAUGGGUUGUAAACUGCUUUAUACAAGAGAAAACCCUGGUACGUGUACCAGGUUGAUAGUAUUGUAAGAAUAAGCAUCGGCUAAUUACGUGCCAGCAGCCGCGGUAA